rnacentral:rRNA from 1 species
UACAGAGGGGGCAAGCGUUGUUCGGAAUUAUUGGGCGUAAAGGGCUCGUAGGCGGUUUGUCGCGUCGGGAGUGAAAACACCGGGCUUAACUCGGUGCUUGCUUUCGAUACGGGCAGACUAGAGGUAUGCAGGGGAGAACGGAAUUCCUGGUGUAGCGGUGAAAUGCGCAGAUAUCAGGAGGAACACCGGUGGCGAAGGCGGCACUCUGGGCCGGUACUGACGCUGAGGAGCGAAAGCGUGGGGAGCGAACAGG